CACAGCAGCCGCAGCCGCCUCGCGCCUGGUCCCUCGGUCGCAGCUCGUGCCGCCUCCUCCGCGCCGCCGCUGUCUCAGCCGCUCGCUUCGUGGGUCGGUCCCUCCGGCACACGAGUUCCAGCCGCGCCACAGCCGCCCUUCAAGCCCUUCAGGCCGUCCCGGUCUCCUUCCUCCGGCUCGACCCAGCCCGUGAAGAUGGUGGACCGCGAGCAACUGGUGCAGAAAGCCCGGCUGGCCGAGCAGGCGGAGCGCUACGACGACAUGGCCGCGGCCAUGAAGAACGUGACAGAGCUGAAUGAGCCACUGUCCAAUGAAGAACGGAACCUGCUCUCUGUGGCUUACAAGAAUGUCGUUGGAGCUCGCCGUUCCUCAUGGAGGGUCAUCAGUAGCAUUGAGCAGAAGACAUCUGCAGAUGGCAACGAGAAGAAGAUAGAGAUGGUUCGUGCUUACCGGGAGAAAAUCGAGAAGGAGCUGGAGGCGGUGUGUCAAGAUGUGCUGAGCCUGCUGGACAACUACCUGAUCAAGAAUUGCAGCGAGACCCAGUACGAGAGCAAGGUGUUCUACCUGAAGAUGAAAGGGGACUAUUACCGCUACCUGGCUGAAGUAGCCACUGGAGAGAAGCGGGCCACCGUGGUGGAGUCCUCUGAGAAGGCCUACAGCGAAGCCCAUGAGAUCAGCAAGGAGCACAUGCAGCCCACCCACCCCAUCCGGUUGGGCCUGGCGCUUAACUACUCCGUGUUCUACUACGAGAUCCAGAACGCCCCAGAGCAAGCCUGCCACUUGGCCAAGACCGCCUUUGACGAUGCCAUUGCCGAGCUCGACACUCUGAACGAGGACUCCUACAAGGACUCCACUCUCAUCAUGCAGCUCCUCCGUGACAACCUAACGCUCUGGACAAGCGAUCAGCAAGACGACGAGGGCGGAGAAGGCAACAAUUAAGGCCCCAGGUGGACUGGCAGCGCACGCUGAUGCUACUACUGCAGUCUUUAUUUUUUUCCCAUGAGUUGGGGGUCGGGUGGGGGAGGGAAAGGGAGGGCUGACCUUCCCAGGGAGAAACCCACGACCUGUCCUGUCUUUGAUCGCCUCUUUGACGUUUUUGCCAAAAUACCACUAGUGGAAAGUCAGGCUAGCUGUGCUGGUAUUGGAGUAGCAGUCUCACGGCAUAUGGACUGUGGUGUAGGUUCAUGCAAGUGGAGCUGUCUGUCUUUAAUUUAACUUAUUGCUAGGUGAUAGGUUUUGAGAUGAAAAGAAAAUGUAAAUGGAAUGGCCCUCAUUCAGUAAGUUCUGUGGUUCCAGUAACGAUUUUAUGUACAUACGCUCUUGUCUUAAGUUUUGGGUACUUUCUCGCUCCUCUGUUUUAGCUGUGCAUUUCUUUUGGGGUGUCCUCUACCAGACAUGGCAUAGUUUAAAUCCCAAGCAAACAGACUUGGAGCAUGAGGUUUGCUCAUCCUACAGUUUAGGCCUGCCCGUUUUCCUCAAGUCUGAUUAGUUGACAGUAUUAACACUAAAUUGCAGUUUACAGUGUUUCUACAUUACAGCCAUAUGUGACAUCAAGCCAUCAAUUGUGAAUUUUUCUUUGCUGUUUUGUUUUUUUUUUUGGCUUUACAUUCUUCUUUAGCCGUAUCUAGGUUGGUUUUGCUGUUCUCUGCCUCCUUGGCUAACAAACGUGCCCUGAGGAGAGUCAAAGCUACUUUAGGUUCGGUUAAUAGGUGCUUGGCAGGUGGCUGUGGGAUUUCAUCCUCCUUUCCUCUUAACAAAUCAACAACAGAAGUUAUUAAUCACUUUAACAGAAACAUUAAGCACCGCAAAAAUGGAGGCACUUCAGGUCUGUCAUGUAUGGUGUUAGAUUCUCCAUGACCCCUGCUCCCAGCUGCCUCAGCUCCUUCCUCAGGGAUUGCACUGCCAUUUGCUCCCCUCUGCACGUGAACUUUCCCCGCUGUACUGGUGCCUACGGCACACGAGUGGCUUGGAGGUUGGAUCCUAGAGGCUGGUGGCCUUCAAGAAUGUGUGUGGUGCAGUGUGGAGAGUCAGGUGCUAGAAGCUGAACCUGUAGAGACCCGGCAGGAGGCGCUGCGCCUGCCCAGCCUUCCUCCAGCUCUCCUUCCUGAGGGCAGGCCUGCUGCGGCGGUGAGUGAAGUCACCAUGGGGAGUAAGCGCUGAAUCCUGUUUGACCAAAACUUUUCCCCUUUUUCUAUUCAAGGAAAGCAUGGAAGUUGGAGGUUGACCUCUCUGAGUUAGCGCACAUUUUGCAAUUGAAGGAAACCACAGAGCUGUUUCCACACAGCUGUUCUCAGUUAGCCCUGGGGCCCUCCUUCCCACUGUAGCUUGGUCUCUGUAAACCUGACCCAUUGCAUGUCGCCUGUCCAGUUUUUCUUAGCUUUUUUUUUUUAAACAAAAUCAGUAACCAUGUGGACUCCUAAGAUCGGUAAUGACACCAGAGUUACUUUGUUACUUUAUUUUAUUUAGGCAAGAAGAGAUAUGAGUAAUGACUGAGGAAAACCUGACAUGCUUUUGCUAGACCAAAAUCAAGCUUACAAUUAGGAAAUGAGUAUGUUUAACAGGACACAGUGACAGUGACAAUAGAAGCGUGGUGAUGACCGUAGAAUCAGUGUGCUCCGUAGUAUUGCAGUUUCCCAGCAUGAUUUUCCUUUGAGGGCCCCUCCUCACCCUGAUGGAAGUCCUGACUCACUGAAUUCUUCCAGGAGUUCUAACUCAACAGAGCUUUGUCGCUUUUGUGCCAUUACAGGAGCCUGGAGUCAUCACUGUGGAUGGAAAACAUUUGGGGGAAGGGGCGGCUUUGGCUCUGGCUGCGUUUUAGAAUAAUGCAAGAUAAAAUCCCUGCAGACAGACAGAGGGCUGGAACUGAAGAGGGACAGGAGACUUGGUGUUACGCAGCUUGAAUGGUUUCUUUUCUUUUCUUUAUUUUUAAAGAAAUGCACUUGCCUAUGAUACUGUCUCUCCAGUGAAAUGAUUACUCCUCCAUUACUCUAUUGAUACAAUAUUGUGCAUGCUCGUGUUGUAUUUCUAUACAGUAGCUUGAAAUUUAUUAACUUAUACUGUAGGUGUUAUGUAUUCCUAUGACAAAAAAAAAUUAAGUCUUCAAAUUUUUUAAAGUUUUUUUAAUUUAAUUUUUCCUUUUGGGGGUACAAGUUUGCUCUACCAAAUAGUGAUCGUAACAAAUUGAUCUGUUUUGGAUGUUGCUAUAGUGACAUGCAGUUAUAUAUUUUGUUUUUAAGGGGGGGGCAAAAGAAACACCAGUGUUAGCUUAAUCUUAAUGUCUGGUGUUUGUCAUGGUGAAAUUAUAACUAUUACAGUGUAGGAGAGCACUGACUAUGUUCUCCGAAUGAGCCUUUGUGCUUUUUGUCAUGUUAUGCAGUGAACUAUUUUUAAGGUCUAAUCAGUGAUUAUUUUUCCAACUCCGUGUUUCUCUAAGGAAUUAUUUCGCACACGGACCAUUCUUAGCAGUUUUCCUCAGUGAUGGAAUAUCAUGAAUGUGAGUCAUUAUGUAGCUGUCGUACAUUGAGCAAAUAAACUUACAGAUCUGA